ACAGAAAAAAAAGGGGUAAGGGGGGGAUACUUUGCACCGCCUUAUGCUAUAUUUGAGAUCCCAAUACCGGGCUUAGCCAUUUCUCCCAUAAACCUAUGCCAUGGAUACCAUAUUUUCCAGUACCUGCCACUAUUAUUGUGAUAAAUAUAUGUUAAUUCCUCUAAUGUUCUUAUUUCUUCCACAGAAUUUACCCAAUUGUUAUAUGUCGGCGCCUCUUUAUUCUUCCAAUUCCUAGGAAUCAAGACCUUGGCUGCUUGCAUUAGGUGAAAAGUAGGAAAUUCAUAUGAAAAUAGAACAACUCAAGAGAGAACAAAAUGGAUUCAUAGUCUACUACCAGAAAUAAAGUGCUGUUAGCUAGUGCUGUGGAAUUUAGAAGCCUUGUCUCACUCACCAUGUGCCAUUGUGCUAAUCUCCGAAGUGCCGUGGCACCCUGAAAACUGCUUGAUUUUCUGACCUGGGUCAAUCAUCCAGAAUGUAAUUGUCGAUCCUGUCUCCAAGCUGAUUACCUGGAAAAAAAAAGCAAGGAAAUGUUGAUGAAAAAAGACGUCUACAAUGGGUUCAGUUCUGAACCAUUUGGAAGGAUAUGGACCCUCAUUGCUACUACAGGUAUGGAGCCUGUUAUCCAGAAUGCUCAGGACCUGAGACUUUCAGAAUAACAGAUC